GUGGUUCCCUCCCUCGCCCGCCUUUCGCCUUCACUGAGUUGAAGUAUCGAGAAUAUAUCACUGUAAACCCUUGCUUUGCUUUUGCAUGUGUUUUCUACUUCUUUCUACUACUUUCUUCUUGUUUCUUCAGCGCUUCGAUACUUUGGAUUUUAAGCAAUGGAUGAUAACUUGUAUGAUGAAUUUGGUAACUAUAUUGGACCUGAUAUCGAGUCAGACCAAGGGAGUGAAGGUGAGGAAGAAGAAGAUGAAGACCUUCCUGACAGGCAUGUCCAAGAGGAGGGACAGCAAUCUGAUGGGGAGGCUCCAGAUGGGGUGUCUAAUGGAUGGAUUACAGCUGCUAAUGAUGUUGAUAUGGAUAAUCAGAUUGUUCUUGCUGAGGACAAGAAGUAUUACCCAACUGCGGAAGAGGUUUAUGGUGAGGAUGUUGAGACCUUGGUUAUGGAUGAAGAUGAGCAGCCUCUUGAGCAACCUAUUAUCAAGCCUGUUAAGAAUAUCAAGUUUGAGGUCGGAGUUAAGGAUUCUUCGACUUAUGUGUCGACCCAGUUUCUUAUUGGUUUGAUGUCAAACCCGGGUUUGAUCCGCAAUGUUGCCCUCGUUGGACACUUGCAACAUGGGAAGACGGUGUUUAUGGACAUGUUGGUUGAGCAAACCCACCAUAUGAACACGUUUGAUCGAAAUAGUGAGAAGCACAUGAGAUACACUGAUACAAGAAUUGAUGAGCAAGAAAGAAGGAUAUCUAUUAAGGCAGUCCCGAUGUCACUUGUUCUUGAGGACAGUAAUGGGAAAUCCUAUCUCUGUAAUAUCAUGGACACUCCUGGUCAUGUGAAUUUUUCUGAUGAAAUGACUGCUGCUCUUAGGCUUGCUGACGGUGCCGUGUUGAUUGUUGAUGCAGCUGAAGGAGUGAUGGUAAAUACUGAGAGGGCUAUACGCCAUGCAAUACAGGAACGCAUACCUAUUGUAGUUGUUAUAAACAAGGUUGACCGGCUGAUAACAGAACUUAAGUUGCCCCCCAAGGAUGCUUAUCAUAAACUAAGGCAUACCCUGGAAGUAAUUAAUAACCAUAUAUCUGCAGCCUCUACAACCGCUGGUAAUGUUCCAGUUAUUGAUCCUGCUGCUGGAAAUGUUUGUUUUGCUAGUGCAAGUGCAGGAUGGUGCUUCACUUUGCAGUCAUUUGCAAAAUUAUAUGUAAAACUACAUGGAAUUCCAUUUGAUGCUGAGAAGUUUGCAUCUCGUCUUUGGGGUGAUAUUUAUUAUCAUCCUGAUACCAGGGCUUUUAAAAGGAAACCCCCUGCUGGCGGAGGAGAACGAUCAUUUGUUGAAUUUGUGCUUGAACCCCUUUAUAAGAUAUAUAGCCAGGUGAUUGGUGAACAUAGGAAGAGUGUAGAGUCUACUCUCGCAGAGUUGGGUGUCACUCUUAGCAAUGCUGCUUACAAGUUAAAUGUUAGGCCUUUGCUAAGGCUGGCUUGCAGCACAGUUUUUGGUUCAGCCUCAGGCUUCACUGAUUUGCUGGUUCAACACAUACCAUCUCCAAAGGAUGCUGCAGCUAAGAAGGUUGAUCACACUUACACAGGACCUAAACAUUCUAUGAUUUACAAGGCCAUGGUAGAAUGUGAUCCAUCUGGUCCCCUUAUGGUCAAUGUGACCAAACUAUAUCCCAAGUCCGAUUGUAGUGUUUUCGAUGCUUUUGGUAGGGUUUACAGUGGUAGAAUUCAAACUGGGCAGUCUUUGAGAGUACUGGGAGAAGGCUAUUCACCAGAUGACGAGGAGGACAUGACAUUAAAAGAAGUAACCAAAUUAUGGAUCUACCAAGCUCGAUACAGAAUACCUAUAAGCAGUGCUCCUCCUGGUUCUUGGGUUCUUAUUGAAGGUGUUGAUGCUUCAAUUAUGAAAACUGCCACCCUCUGUAAUAUGGAUCUUGAUGAAGAUGUAUACAUUUUCCGGCCGUUACAGUUUAAUACCCUUCCUGUUGUAAAAACUGCUACUGAGCCUUUAAAUCCUAGUGAGUUGCCCAAAAUGGUGGAGGGGCUUCGGAAGAUCAGCAAAAGCUAUCCUCUAGCAAUUACUAAAGUUGAGGAAUCUGGUGAGCACACUAUAUUAGGUACUGGAGAGUUGUACUUGGACUCAAUUAUGAAGGACCUUAGGGAGCUUUAUUCAGAGGUGGAAGUUAAGGUGGCAGAUCCUGUUGUUUCAUUCUGUGAAACAGUGGUGGAGUCUUCAUCCAUGAAAUGCUUUGCUGAAACACCCAACAAGAAGAAUAAAAUAACCAUGAUUGCAGAGCCAUUGGAGAGAGGUCUUGCAGAGGACAUUGAGAAUGGUGUUGUAAGUGUUGACUGGAGUCGGAAGCAACUUGGUGACUUCUUCAAGACAAAAUAUGACUGGGAUUUGCUUGCUGCACGUUCCAUCUGGGCAUUUGGCCCUGAUAAGCAGGGACCUAAUAUUUUAUUAGAUGAUACACUCCCUACUGAGGUUGACAAGGGAUUGUUGGGAUCUGUCAGGGAUUCUAUUGUCCAAGGAUUUCAGUGGGGUGCUCGAGAAGGACCUCUCUGUGAUGAACCUAUUAGAAAUGUGAAGUUCAAAAUAGUUGAUGCAAGGAUUGCAUCUGAACCAUUGCAUCGAGGAUCUGGACAGAUCAUCCCCACAGCUCGACGUGUGGCCUAUUCAGCUUUCCUUAUGGCGACCCCACGGCUUAUGGAACCUGUAUAUUAUGUGGAGAUACAAACACCAAUUGACUGUGUCUCUGCUAUCUACACGGUGUUGUCUCGUAGGCGUGGUCAUGUUACAGCUGAUGUGCCACAGCCAGGAACCCCGGCCUAUAUUGUGAAGGCAUUUUUACCUGUGAUAGAGUCAUUCGGAUUUGAGACAGACCUGAGGUACCACACACAAGGUCAAGCCUUUUGUCUCUCAGUAUUCGACCACUGGGCCAUAGUUCCUGGAGACCCUUUGGACAAGAGCAUUGUUUUGCGACCUCUUGAACCCGCACCAAUACAGCACCUUGCUCGGGAGUUCAUGGUAAAGACAAGGCGUAGAAAGGGAAUGAGUGAAGAUGUGAGCAUCAACAAGUUCUUCGACGAGGCUAUGGUGGUGGAGCUAGCUCAGCAGGCUGCCGAUCUUCAUCAGCAGAUGAUAUAAACCAAAACACGGUAUAUACAAGUUUGUCAUGUUUCGAGGACUUCAACGUACUUACUGCCAUCCUUCCUCACCGCUUUCACUGGGCUCAAACUUGGACAAGGACCAGAAGCAAAUAUCAAAGAACCAAAUUCUAACACUUGGCAGAAAAGGCACAAAGAAUCAACAUGCAUGACAAAAUACACAUGUGGAAGGUUCCCAAGAUGCAUAAAAGACUAAACUACAAGAAAAAAUGUGUAUUUGAACUCAUCUCUUGUUCCUAUCAACAAAUGGCCAUGAAGUUGCUGUAAUGCAAAAGUUCAAAUACCAUCUUUCAUAUUUUUUCCAUCGUGAAAUUGCUAAAACGUUAGGCCAUUUACAUAUA